UAGAGUUAAAAUACAUUCAAUGAAUAUGACAGAGUGUAUGAAUAGUUCAUAGGAGGCAUAUUCCACGAUGCAGACCUCCACGAUCCAUCAGGCAGAUGGCGGUGGGGAGGAGGAGGUCUCCAUCGUGGAAUAUGCCUACUAUGAACUAUUCAUACACUCUGUCAUAUUCAUUGAAUGUAUUUUAACUCUAAAUCUGUCCUUCUGGUCACAUGACAUCUAUUGCAUCUGUCCAUCCUGCAGAGGGAUCCUCCUCUGUUCUCUCCUGAAGGUUUCUUCCCUUUUUUUCCCCCUGAAGGGUUAUUUGGGAGUUUUUCCUGGUCCGAUGUGAGGUUUUGGGGCAGGGAAGUCUAUGUGUACAGAUUGUAAAGCACUCCGAGACAAAUUUGUAAUUUGUGAAAUUGGGCUAUACAAAUAAACUGAAUUGAAUUGAA